UGGGACAGAGCAGGUAUCAGGCUCACAAUGCUAGCCCAUAACACCUCGCCAAGCCACAUCCCCACGGAUAAUACAGCAGUGACUAACAUUAGGCAAUAAGCACCAACUAAGCUUGACCUAGCUAAAAUUAAAAUGGCCGGCAAAUCUCGUGCCAGCAGCCGCGGUUACACGGGAGGCCAAAAAUAUGAUACAACGGCGUAAAGAGUGAAUAUGAAUUAUACCUCAUACUAGGACCUAAAAUUGUGCCUCAGAGAUGAAAUCCUAAGGUACCAGGAAUUUCUCAACACCCUACACCAGGCCAUUUAAAUCACGAAAGUCAGAAUACAAACUAGGAUU
rnacentral:rRNA from 1 species